UAAUCAGUCGAGAAUAAUUAACGUCGGUAGCACGCCUGCACAUCUACAACGGUGGAAGGCCUAUGGACUUAAUAUUUAGGAGGAGGUUUAGGUUUAGGUCUCAUCUAAUCAGUUAUCAUAUAAUCGAUCUAAUUAGCAUGGGCUAAACCAAACUGCUAAACAACCUAAUUCAAGAUCCAAUCUUCCAAAUUGACAAGAUAAGU
rnacentral:lncRNA from 1 species